CUUCCUUGACCACACUCGUUGGUGCCACAGCUCUCCUGCAGUCCCUCUUCCCUUCUGUUGCGUUGCAGGUGUCCCGCACAGUCCCUCUUUUAUUCCCUCAUGAAGGUCAAGGAAUCCGUCUUCUGCCUUGCUGUAGCUCUCACGCAAAGCUCAAGGAUCAGCUUUUCUACUCCAUGACGAGUCGCUCGCCGUCGCUUUCCUUGUGUCCCCCGUCGUUGCCAUGGCGAGCUCGUCCAUGCCGCCUCGGCUUGCGGACAAUCCUCCUUCCUUCUCCAUGGCGUGCUCCUCCCUAUUGUCCCCAUACUUGCAUACCAUAGAGCAGGCCAUGAUGGCGGCCAGAUCCGCGCUUGCUUGUCAAGGUUCGACCGUGAAUCAUCAGUCGCCAUGGAGCUCCGAUCCCACAGUUGCCGCACCUCGACAAAAUCCCUGGAGGAUGAGCGCGUGAGGAUCCCAUAGCUGUCGCAACUCUGUUCAGAAUUCUUGAUUUUUCCCCUGUGAUUAGAGUUGAUCACCUUAAGCGGUGGACAUGGUUUAGGAGAGCAAGGUCCUCAUGGAGAGCUGGGGAGACUUGGAAGCUUCGAGAGGAGGGCAGAAGCCACACGAGGGAGGCACAAACCAACAAGGCGCGACGAGGGGGGGGGGUCUACGUGCCCUGAUGGAUUGUCCCUCCCUGGUGGCCCCACAUCCUGCAGUCUCUGGCCUAUAAAUUCACAUAUAUUUCAAAAACCCUAAAUAUCAGAGAGAAACACUUUUUCCGCCGCCGCAAGUCUUUAUUCCAAGGUGAUCCCAUCUCGAGCUCCGUUCCGACACCCUGCCGGAGGGGGGUCGAUCACGAAGAGCCUCUUCAUCAGCCUUGCUGCCCUCGUGAUGAUGAUUGAGUAGUUCACGAGAGACCUUCGAGUCCGUAGUUAGUCUCUGGAUGACUAUCUCUCUCUUUCUUUUGAUCUUUAAUACAAUAAUCAUUGCAUCUUCGCUUUGAUCUAUUCGAUGUAA